rfam:Clostridium halophilum strain M1 genome assembly, contig: G325DRAFT_scaffold00013.13
AGUACCUUUAAAUUGGUCCAGAGAGGCCGGAAAGGUAAAAAUAAAAAUUGUAUCUAUAAAUAGGUAAGUUAUGCCUUCCGUUUCUCUAAAUGGAAGGUUUUUUGU